rnacentral:rRNA from 1 species
UACGAAGGGGGCUAGCGUUGCUCGGAAUCACUGGGCGUAAAGCGCACGUAGGCGGCUUCUUAAGUCAGGGGUGAAAUCCUGGAGCUCAACUCCAGAACUGCCUUUGAUACUGAGGAGCUUGAGUCCGGGAGAGGUGAGUGGAACUGCGAGUGUAGAGGUGAAAUUCGUAGAUAUUCGCAAGAACACCGGUGGCGAAGGCGGGUCUCUGGGCCAUAACUGACGCUGAGGAGCGAAAGCGUGGGGAGCGAACAGG